UUAGAUUUUGCCAAAAAAAUCUUCGCUAACUCAGUUCCGUUACAUUUGCGUUAGACGUUCUUCUGUACCAUGAACCUUGGACAAUCCCAGCACAAUUCUACAGUGAAUGUCUAACCAGUGUUCACAUUUAAGCACCUUAGUAAAUCUACUCAAAGCAGAAGGAAUAUAGAAAAUUAUUUUUUUCCAUCUAUGUUUUCAUACAACUUCAGAAGCAGAACAAAAAAUGUUCCUGUAAUAAUACGUAUAGCGGUACCAGCAAUAUAUACGCUACUCACCAGCUUAACACACUAACGUUUUUCAUUGGUCAAUAAAAGCUUUUCUCUUCAAAUAGGUAGACAGUACGUUCACUUUGCCUUCUUUCUGUGUUAAACUUUAAGAAUGUAAUUCUAAGUUUCUAUUAUUUUUGCAGACAAAGCACAUUUAAAAUAAUAAAAUUAUUAUUUCCAAUUCUUCUCCUUCAGCUUUUUAUGUAGAAAUAAUUUUUUAAUGCUUGUGUAUAGUUCAUGUUGUUAUAGAUAAAGAUUGGUGGUUCCCCAAAAUAUUGUAAAUACAUUUUAUCUCUGGGAUAUAGAGUUAGAUUUGUUUUCAGAUGUUGUUCCCCGUAAUUGCUAAAAUGUGUUGUUACCAAAUAUAGAACCGUACUAUCAUCCUACUAGCUCAAAAGCCAUAGAUGUGUAAGCAGAUACGUUUUAAGGGGCAGCACAUUGAGGUACUCAUAUGUGAGUAAUUAAUAUGCAUUCAUAAAAAAAAAUGUUAUUAUCUGAGGCAGAAGCUGCAGCUCGGCAGCUGCUCUUCUCCUCCAGAUUUGAUUGGAUGCUUGGAGCAGCUAAUCAGUGGAAGGAAAGCAGCUGAACACAUUUACAUGGAAAAUAGCCAGGGGAUAGGCAAAGGGGCAAAUGCAUAUGUGAUUUUGCAGUAUCCCCCCCCCCAUGCCUUUGCAAAGCAGACACCAGAAAAGCUUUAUGGGACCGCACAGCUAUCAUAUGCAUUACAUGAUAGCUGGAUUGUCCCUUUAACAUGUAACAACUUACACCAAUGGAAGACAGAGAGCGAACAUAAAAAGCUCACUAAAAUCUAUUGCCCAGAAAAAAAAUACAGUUUCAGAAUAAUAGUUACAGGCACUGUUUUUGUUAUGAUUCGGAGACAAAAGUUGCGAGGUCACCAAUGCAUGAUAAAUAUAAAAUAAUUUCAGCGGUUAAACAUAAAAAGGUUAAUUAAGGUGGAUAUAAAAAAUAACAGCAGUUUAAAGCCAUAGCACUCUAGCAGUUGGAAGAAUCUGCUCCGUACUGUAAAGCAUAUAGGGAAACCACAAGCUACUUUCUGUGUCCUGUAAGUGACCCUGAAUGUAUUUUGAAUAUGAAGGAACUGAAUGGCCACUAGUGCUACAAUCUUGUAUUGUUCUACUAAACACAUAGGGUUUCCAGAAAAAAAAAUAUUAUUUGAGAUAACAUUUCCUAUUAUUUCUGUGCAAUAGAUAUUUUUUUUUUUUUUUUUUUUUAUAAAGGCAAUUGUUUAAAUUUUCAAGAAAAAAUACAUAGCCAAUAUACGGCAAUUACACCAGCAAAAGUUACCAUUAAUAAUGUAUUACAAAUGUUUUAGAUCAGAAACCAUAUAUGAUCAUUUUGUUUUGUUAAAUAUAUUUAUAAUCACCAGUGGUAGCAUCUGGGAAAUGACUACAGAAGAAGUCUGAAGUCUUGUGCUCAUAAUUCGUAUUUCAAUGCAUACGCUUGAGUAAAACACUAUAUACGUAGAUGUAAGCACAGGGGUUUAAGGAAACGAAGUGAAAGGGCUAUUGGAUGCAUUCAGAAUCUCCCACGUUCCUUUGGAAGGAAACUAACACUGAAAUAUUAAAUGUAUGUAUAUGUGCUUAAGAUAACCGCUAUAAAAAUAAAGGAUAUAAGAACUCAAACUGAUUAAAGCAAAAUGAUUUUAGAUAUCAGAGGUCCCCAAUGUAACAAAAAUGGAAAACAUAGUUACAAUUAGAUUUUGGUCUUUGCAAAAAAAAAAAGCAAUUGGAAUGAUGGAAGUGGAUUCUCCAGUCUUGUAGCCAAUGUGCGGGUUUCUAAGACGCAUAUCAGUGGUCAUACCAGCAAGGCAUCCACACACAAAAAAUGUAAUGGCCCGUCGGUGUAGACACUAGAAGUCUAGCCUAGAAAACCCUGCUUAAACAGAGAAAAUAAUAGAAAAAUUUGGAAGAACAUUAGCGAAUGCCUCCACAUGUCCUGCUGCCUUGAAACAGGUCCCUGUGCCUUAUAUUAUAGGAUGGACAUGAAAUAUGGUUUUGUUAUAGGGGAUUGUGAUUCAGAUAUAAAUUAUAGCUAAUACCUAGUGUCUUUUUAGCUUUUAUUCUAAUAUUUGUGCCGCCUGCUUUGGAUACCUGUAAGCUUGCUCCAGUAAUGAGAUGUUUCAGGACACAGACCUUGUGUGUAGGAUUGCAUUCUGCACCAACUACUUAAUUUGACUUUGAGCACAGCAGUAUUAUGCCGGCCCGGGGAAAAAAGCACUAAAAAAAUGUUGACUUAUAUAAUUGAAUCGGAAUACCUGUUUCUGUUUCACCUUUGGUAUUGUAUAGAAAGUCUUCUGCUUAACAAGUUCAGGCAGAAUGACUUUCCUCAGGUAAUUUAUUCCUUGACCUUGUGAUGAUAAUCCACCUGUAAUAAAUGCCGUUUUGCACAAAGGAAAGGGGAAUUGCUGAAAUACAGCAAACAAGAAAA